AUAUUUACCUGAUUGGGGAAAUGCCAUGAUCAUGAAGGUGGUUUUCCCAGGGAUAAUCUUAUCCCUUACCCAGAUGAAGUGACCCCUGUGAUUUCUCCAAUUAUGCCUUGGAAAACUCAACUGCAUAAUUUGAGGGAGUGGGUGAGAGCAUAGUUUUAUAUAUA